rnacentral:rRNA from 1 species
GGGGUUUGCUGAGUGAAAGCCUUCGGCUCACCGAAGAAGUGCAUCGGAAACUGGGAAACUUGAGUGCAGAAGAGGACAGUGGAACUCCAUGUGUAGCGGUGAAAUGCGUAGAUAUAUGGAAGAACACCAGUGGCGAAGGCGGCUGUCUGGUCUGUAACUGACGCUGAGGCUCGAAAGUAUGGGUAGCAAACAGGAUUAGAUACCCUGGUAGUCCAUACCGUAAACAUGAAUGCUAAGUGUUGGAGGGUUUCCGCCCUUCAGUGCUGCAGCUAACGCAUUAAGCAUUCCGCCUGGGGAGUACGGCCGCAAGGCUGAAACUCAAAGGAAUUGACGGGGGCCCGCACAAGCGGUGGAGCAUGUGGUUUAAUUCGAAGCUACGCGAAGAACCUUACCAGGUCUUGACAUACUAUGCAAAUCUAAGAGAUUAACGUUCCCUUCGGGGACAUGGAUACAGGUGGUGCAUGGUUGUCGUCAGCUCGUGUCGUGAGAUGUUGGGUUAAGUCCCGCAACGAGCGCAACCCUUAUUAUCAGUUGCCACAUUAAUUGGGCACUCUGGUGAGACUGCCGUGACAAACCGAGAAGUGGGGAGACUCAAUCUCGCCCCUUAUGA